AACAAACAGAGGCUUUCUAGAAGAAAAUGAUAUUUAUUCAGGAAUAGGGCACUGCAAUGAGAAUACACGUGCCAUCGUAAACUUGUGCAUGUUCAGGGAAGAAAGACGAAGGUUUUUAAAGAAAAAAUGAGGAGGAUUACCUGAUUAUUUUGAUAUAAUUAUUCUUGGCUACAAAGAUCAAUAACAGGGGUGAUACCAAUUCAAGGUUAGACAGGAAAUGGCUGGACAGAUGUCCUUGCAGAACUUGUUAUUGGUCUAUUCAGAGAGUCAACUUCUUCCUGGUUUAGUCUUGGGAGGGUGUCUGGAUUAAGAAAAUGUG
rnacentral:lncRNA from 10 species